rnacentral:rRNA from 1 species
AUCGAUAAACAAUAUCCAUUCACUGUUGAUAUUUUUGAUACAUGAAACUGGGAUUAUCUGGAUGAUAAGGCUAGGGAUAUUUUAGUUGAGAAGGGUCCUGUAAGAAAUGAUGAUAUUGUGUUUCCUCCAUAUAGUAAAUCUAGACAUUUUUCACAAUCUUAAUAUUCCAGAAAGUUGAGCAAUGGAGAGGUACAUGAAAGGAAAUGGUUGGUUUACACAGAACAUGCUAACAAAGUGUAA